rnacentral:snoRNA from 9 species
GUUGGUUGAAAAUCACCUGCGGCUUUGGCUGUGGCCGUGGGUGAGAUUCGGCGCCCAGAGCCACCGGAGGCCUCAGCUCACCGCCCACUUCUCAGUGUGGGGAGGUGAAACCCAGGCCCCGACACGA